rnacentral:lncRNA from 1 species
GAUCCAAAUGAAGCAUAUCGCACAGAAAACAAACACAAUUAUUAAAUCUACUUGUAUCAUGAACAUUUUCACAAAACAAAAUGCAUAUUGUAAUAUUAAGUACAUGACACUUGCAUGUUAAUAUGCCUAUAUACUGACAAAGUAUUCAAUGUGUACUGAGUGGCGCUUCAAAUAUGUCAUGUACAACACUUAGAAACAUGCCUACAAAGGUUCCCACUUGCAUUUCAUCCUUUCAGUAAAGUCUCCUCACACGUGCAAAAAAAUUGUUUGAUAAAUAUGAAAAAAAAUAAAAUUUGAAUUUUAGUUAUCUGUUGGACAUUACUGAACUUCUUCUUCAUUUAGUGUAUUUUAGGUUCUGAACACAGACAUUGAGAAUAAACGUUCUUUUCUCCAGUGAAAGAUUACAAACGAUGUGGUGGAGCAUGUUCUGUUAUGCCAAACGCAUUAUUUUGAAUACCUUUUUUCAAUUGCAUUUUAUAUCCAUCUAUUUUAGGUUUCCUCAAUGACAUACAAUUUUCUUGUAAAUUUCUAAAGGGAACUUAAAAAAAUGAGAGCUACUAAAUGUUAUCUUUCUGAUAAAACAUUUAAUCAUUACUCCUUGAAAUGUAUGAACCUUGUGAUAUGCUAAGGGUUAAAAAAUAAGUGUCGCUGACAUAAAGAAUUUUGCUUGAGAUUGCCAACAUUCAAAAUUCUGUAAAAGUACUUUUACAUCCACUUAUUUGUGUUUACUAAUGUUGACUAGGAACAGAAGCAAAAAUAUCUAAAACAAACUUUUUUAUUUCUACACUCUAACCGAUAUAUUUCAACUACCUAAGAUAAUGCGAUUAACCAUAUAUACAUCCCGAGCUUAUAACAAUAAGAAUUUGAGAUAAGCUUUUAAAUUUAUGGAAGAUUUUCUUUGUGUCUUUGGAAGUUCACUUACCAUAAGGUAUUUUGUAGUGUACUUUAAGUAACAGAUUUUGUUAUACAGGGUAAGCCAAAGGCUGUACAAGAAUUAGUGCCAUUGGGUCUGAUAUUUGUGUUGGACCAUGAAAUAUUCCAUUAAAAUUUGUCUGUAAAU